rnacentral:rRNA from 1 species
ACCCGCACAAGCAGCGGAGCAUGUGGUUUAAUUCGAAGCAACGCGAAAGAACCUUACCAGAUCUUGACAUCCAAUUGACCAUCUUUUAAUCGAGAUUUUGCCUUCGGGUACAAUUGAGACAGGUGGUGCAUGGUUGUCGUCAGCUCGUGUCGUGAGAUGUUGGGUUAAGUCCCGCAACGAGCGCAACCCUUGUGUUUAGUUGCAAACAGGUCAAGCUGUGCACUCUAGACAGACUGCCGUGGACAACACGGAGGAAGGUGGGGAUGACGUCAAAUCAUCAUGCCCCUUAUGAUCUGGGCUACACACGUGCUACAAUGGCCGGUACAGAGCGCAGCGAGGCCGCGAGGCGGAGCGAAUCGCUUAAAGCCGGUCCCAGUACGGAUUGGAGUCUGCAACCCGACUCCAUGAAGUUGGAAUCGCUAGUAAUCGCGCAUCAGCAUGGCGCGGUGAAUACGUUCCCGGGCCUU